GACGAACGCUGGCGGCGUGCCUAAUACAUGCAAGUCGAGCGGACAGAUGGGAGCUUGCUCCCUGAAGUCAGCGGCGGACGGGUGAGUAACACGUGGGCAACCUGCCUGUAAGACUGGGAUAACUUCGGGAAACCGGAGCUAAUACCGGAUACGUUCUUUUCUCGCAUGAGAGAAGGUGGAAAGAUGGUUUCGGCUAUCACUUACAGAUGGGCCCGCGGCGCAUUAGCUAGUUGGUGAGGUAAUGGCUCACCAAGGCGACGAUGCGUAGCCGACCUGAGAGGGUGAUCGGCCACACUGGGACUGAGACACGGCCCAGACUCUUACGGGAGGCAGCAGUAGGGAAUCUUCCGCAAUGGACGAAAGUCUGACGGAGCAACGCCGCGUGAACGAUGAAGGCCUUCGGGUCGUAAAGUUCUGUUGUUAGGGAAGAACAAGUGCCAGAGUAACUGCUGGUACCUUGACGGUACCUAACCAGAAAGCCACGGCUAACUACGUGCCAGCCGCCGCAGUAAUAC
rnacentral:rRNA from 1 species